AUACGUAGGGGGCGAGCGUUGUCCGGAAUGAUUGGGCGUAAAGGGCGCGUAGGCGGCCCGGUAAGUCUGGAGUGAAAGUCCUGUUUUUAAGAUGGGAAUUGCUUUGGAUACUGUCGGGCUUGAGUGCAGGAGAGGUAAGUGGAAUUCCCAGUGUAGCGGUGAAAUGCGUAGAGAUUGGGAGGAACACCAGUGGCGAAGGCGACUUACUGGACUGUAACUGACGCUGAGGCGCGAAAGUGUGGGGAGCAAACAGGAUUAGAUACCCUGGUAGUCCACACUGCAAACGAUGAAUGCUAGGUGUAGGGGGUAUCGACCCCUUCUGUGCCGCAGUCAACACAAUAAGCAUUCCGCCUGGGGAGUACGGCCGCAAGGUUGAAACUCAAAUGAAUUGGCGGGG
rnacentral:rRNA from 1 species